GGGGAAAUAGCUCAGUGGUAGAGCACAUGCUUAGCAUGCAUGAGGUCCUGGGUUCAGUCCCCAGUACUUCCA
rnacentral:tRNA from 1 species